rnacentral:rRNA from 1 species
GACGAACGCUGGCGGCGUGCUUAACACAUGCAAGUCGAACGGAAAGGCCCUGCUUUUGUGGGGUGCUCGAGUGGCGAACGGGUGAGUAACACGUGAGUAACCUGCCCUUGACUUUGGGAUAACUUCAGGAAACUGGGGCUAAUACCGGAUAGGAGCUCCUGCUGCAUGGUGGGGGUUGGAAAGUUUCGGCGGUUGGUGAUGGACUCGCGGCUUAUCAGCUUGUUGGUGGGGUAGUGGCUUACCAAGGCUUUGACGGGUAGCCGGGCUGAGAGGGUGACCGGCCACAUUGGGACUGAGAUACGGCCCAGACUCCUACGGGAGGCAGCAGUGGGGAAUAUUGCACAAUGGGCGGAAGCCUGAUGCAGCAACGCCGCGUGCGGGGUGACGGCCUUCGGGUUGUAAACCGCUUUCGCCUGUGACGAGGCGAGAGUGACGGUAAUGGGUAAAGAAGCACCGGCUAACUACGUG